rnacentral:rRNA from 1 species
AUUGAACGCUGGCGGCAGGCCUAACACAUGCAAGUCGAGCGAGCGGCGGACGGGUGAGUAAUGUCUGGGAAACUGCCUGAUGGAGGGGGAUAACUACUGGAAACGGUAGCUAAUACCGCAUACCAUCAGAUGUGCCCAGAUGGGAUUGGCUGGUAGGUGGGGUAACGGCUCACCUAGGCCACGAUCCCUAGCUGGGCUGAGAGGAUGACAAGCCACACUGGAACGUAGACACGGUCCAGACUCCUACGGGGGGCAUCAGUGGGGAAUAUUGCACAAUGGGCGCAAACCUGAUGCAACCAUGCCGCGUGUGUGAAGAAGGCUUUCGGGUUGUAAAACACUUUCAGCGGGGAGGCGUUACCCGCAGAAGAAGCACCGGCUAACUCCGUGCCAGCAGCCGCGGUAAUAC